rnacentral:rRNA from 1 species
UACGAAGGGGGCUAGCGUUGCUCGGAAUCACUGGGCGUAAAGGGUGCGUAGGCGGGUCUUUAAGUCAGGGGUGAAAUCCUGGAGCUCAACUCCAGAACUGCCUUUGAUACUGAAGGUCUUGAGUUCGGGAGAGGUGAGUGGAACUGCGAGUGUAGAGGUGAAAUUCGUAGAUAUUCGCAAGAACACCAGUGGCGAAGGCGGCUCACUGGCCCGAUACUGACGCUGAGGCACGAAAGCGUGGGGAGCAAACAGGG